rnacentral:rRNA from 1 species
ACGGGUGAGUAACACGUGGGUGAUCUGCCCUGUACUUCGGGAUAAGCCUGGGAAACUGGGUCUAAUACCGGAUAUGACCACGGGAUGCAUGUCUUGUGGUGGAAAGAUUUAUCGGUGCAGGAUGGGCCCGCGGCCUAUCAGCUUGUUGGUGGGGUAAUGGCCUACCAAGGCGACGACGGGUAGCCGACCUGAGAGGGUGACCGGCCACACUGGGACUGAGACACGGCCCAGACUCCUACGGGAGGCAGCAGUGGGGAAUAUUGCACAAUGGGCGGAAGCCUGAUGCAGCGACGCCGCGUGAGGGAUGACGGCCUUCGGGUUGUAAACCUCUUUCGACAGGGACGAAGCGUAAGUGACGGUACCUGUAGAAGAAGCACCGGCCAACUACGUGCCAGCAGCCGCGGUAAUACGUAGGGUGCGAGCGUUGUCCGGAAUUACUGGGCGUAAAGAGCUUGUAGGCGGUUCGUCGCGUCGAUCGUGAAAACUGGCGGCUCAACUGCCAGCUUGCGGUCGAUACGGGCGGACUAGAGUACUUCAGGGGAGACUGGAAUUCCUGGUGUAGCGGUGAAAUGCGCAGA